rnacentral:rRNA from 1 species
GAUGAACGCUGGCGGCGUGCCUAAUACAUGCAAGUCGAGCGAACAGACGAGGAGCUUGCUCCUCUGACGUUAGCGGCGGACGGGUGAGUAACACGUGGAUAACCUACCUAUAAGACUGGGAUAACUUCGGGAAACCGGAGCUAAUACCGGAUAAUAUAUUGAACCGCAUGGUUCAAUAGUGAAAGACGGUUUUGCUGUCACUUAUAGAUGGAUCCGCGCCGCAUUAGCUAGUUGGUCAGGUAACGGCUUACCAAGGCAACGAUGCGUAGCCGACCUGAGAGGGUGAUCGGCCACACUGGAACUGAGACACGGUCCAGACUCCUACGGGAGGCAGCAGUAGGGAAUCUUCCGCAAUGGGCGAAAGCUUGACGGAGCAACGCCGCGUGAGUGAUGAAGGUCUUCGGAUCGUAAAACUCUGUUAUUAGUGAAGAACAAAUGUGUAAGUAACUAUGCACGUCUUGACGGUACCUAAUCAGAAAGCCACGGCUAACUACGUG